rnacentral:lncRNA from 1 species
UAGCAAAUAAAGGAACAAUCAUCUUACGCCUCCAGCCCCCACAGCCACUACCCGAGAAGGGAGUGGGAACAAGAGAGACCCCAGGGACAUCAGAGGAAUAUACAAAAAGGGGGCUAGAAGAGUCCACUGAGGAGGAGGUACCAGCAUUUGUAUUAGAAGCCAUAAUCAAUGAACCGGCUUAAAAAAAACAGUUUCAACAAACAGAGUAUAACCAAACCAGAUAUUCACACACAAAACCAGAUACUCUCAUACGGAGUCAGAUAAUCACACACAAAGCAUACAACACUCAAGAUAAGGACAGAGUUACCCUCCUUCUGACCAGAUACUCACAUACGGAGUCAGAUAAUCACACACAAAGCAUACAACGCUCAAGAUAAGGAUAGAGUUACCCUCAUUCUUCGCGACCGGAGAAGAUCGGCCUUCAAUCAAUCAGAGAAAACCCUAGGUACAAAACCCUACGUGCAACCGUCAAAAAAUUUACUGGAAAUAUGGUCAGGGAUGUCGGAAAGUCAUCCAAAACAUCCACUGAGUGAGGAUCGAGCCAUCGGAUAGCAGUUAAACUCUAGGUUCAACCACCAGAAACCCUAGAAGCUGAUAAGUCACCGAAAAAUCACCCAAAAAUCAUCGGAAAAUCUCUCAGAACGUUCGAGUGAAGAAAAUACACUCAGAUAUCACGAUGAAAAACUCAGAAAGGCAUCCGAUCUAGAUCGGACCUCUCAAAACGUUUGAGUGAAGAAAAUACACUCAGAUAUCACGAUGAAAAACUCAGAAAGGCAUACGAUCUAGAUCGGAAUCGUCAUCGACCACAAAGUCUCAGAAAUACCCCCAAAAAUCUCAAAGGAGACUUCAACCAAGAC